CGCGUAGGCGGUUACCCAAGUCAGAGGUGAAAUCCCGGAGCUCAACUCCGGAACUGCCUUUGAAACUAUGUAACUAGAAUCUUGGAGAGGCGAGUGGAAUUCCGAGUGUAGAGGUGAAAUUCGUAGAUAUUCGGAAGAACACCAGUGGCGAAGGCGACUCGCUGGACAAGUAUUGACGCUGAGGUGCGAAAGCGUGGGGAGCAAACA
rnacentral:rRNA from 1 species